rnacentral:rRNA from 1 species
CAAUAGCGUAUAUUAUUGAUGUUGCAGUUGAAACGUUCGUAGUCGGAUUUAAUUUGCUGCAGUACUUUUUCAUUGCUGAUGAUUUUGUGCUUGCCGCAGAUAUUUUGCAAGAGGAACUUGUUUUCCACAAGCUCGCCUUUUGCACUUUACUUUGAGUGAAUCGGCGUGUUUCACGCAGGCAAUCGCCUUGAACGAUUUACCAGCGUUUUCUACACUGAUAGGAACGGUUGAGGGCAUUCGUAUUCGACUGCUAGAGGUGAAAUUCUUUGAUUAGUCGAGGAUGAACUACCGCGAAAGCUUCUGCCAAAGACGUUUCCUUUGA